AAAUUGAAGAGUUUGAUCAUGGCUCAGAUUGAACGCUGGCGGCAGGCCUAACACAUGCAAGUCGAACGGUAACAGGAAACAGCUUGCUGUUUCGCUGACGAGUGGCGGACGGGUGAGUAAUGUCUGGGAAACUGCCCGAUGGAGGGGGAUAACUACUGGAAACGGUAGCUAAUACCGCAUAACGUCGCAAGACCAAAGAGGGGGACCUUCGGGCCUCUUGCCAUCGGAUGUGCCCAGAUGGGAUUAGCUAGUAGGUGGGGUAAAGGCUCACCUAGGCGACGAUCCCUAGCUGGUCUGAGAGGAUGACCAGCCACACUGGAACUGAGACACGGUCCAGACUCCUACGGGAGGCAGCAGUGGGGAAUAUUGCACAAUGGGCGCAAGCCUGAUGCAGCCAUGCCGCGUGUAUGAAGAAGGCCUUCGGGUUGUAAAGUACUUUCAGCGGGGAGGAAGGGAGUAAAGUUAAUACCUUUGCUCAUUGACGUUACCCGCAGAAGAAGCACCGGCUAACUCCGUGCCAGCAGCCGCGGUAAUACGGAGGGUGCAAGCGUUAAUCGGAAUUACUGGGCGUAAAGCGCACGCAGGCGGUUUGUUAAGUCAGAUGUGAAAUCCCCGGGCUCAACCUGGGAACUGCAUCUGAUACUGGCAAGCUUGAGUCUCGUAGAGGGGGGUAGAAUUCCAGGUGUAGCGGUGAAAUGCGUAGAGAUCUGGAGGAAUACCGGUGGCGAAGGCGGCCCCCUGGACGAAGACUGACGCUCAGGUGCGAAAGCGUGGGGAGCAAACAGGAUUAGAUACCCUGGUAGUCCACGCCGUAAACGAUGUCGACUUGGAGGUUGUGCCCUUGAGGCGUGGCUUCCGGAGCUAACGCGUUAAGUCGACCGCCUGGGGAGUACGGCCGCAAGGUUAAAACUCAAAUGAAUUGACGGGGGCCCGCACAAGCGGUGGAGCAUGUGGUUUAAUUCGAUGCAACGCGAAGAACCUUACCUGGUCUUGACAUCCACGGAAGUUUUCAGAGAUGAGAAUGUGCCUUCGGGAACCGUGAGACAGGUGCUGCAUGGCUGUCGUCAGCUCGUGUUGUGAAAUGUUGGGUUAAGUCCCGCAACGAGCGCAACCCUUAUCCUUUGUUGCCAGCGGUCCGGCCGGGAACUCAAAGGAGACUGCCAGUGAUAAACUGGAGGAAGGUGGGGAUGACGUCAAGUCAUCAUGGCCCUUACGACCAGGGCUACACACGUGCUACAAUGGCGCAUACAAAGAGAAGCGACCUCGCGAGAGCAAGCGGACCUCAUAAAGUGCGUCGUAGUCCGGAUUGGAGUCUGCAACUCGACUCCAUGAAGUCGGAAUCGCUAGUAAUCGUGGAUCAGAAUGCCACGGUGAAUACGUUCCCGGGCCUUGUACACACCGCCCGUCACACCAUGGGAGUGGGUUGCAAAAGAAGUAGGUAGCUUAACCUUCGGGAGGGCGCUUACCACUUUGUGAUUCAUGACUGGGGUGAAGUCGUAACAAGGUAACCGUAGGGGAACCUGCGGUUGGAUCACCUCCUUA
rnacentral:rRNA from 1 species